rnacentral:rRNA from 1 species
GGGAAUUUUGCGCAAUGGGGGAAACCCUGACGCAGCAACGCCGCGUGCGGGAUGACGGCCCUCGGGUUGUAAACCGCUUUCAGCAGGGAAGAUAUUGACGGUACCUGCAGAAGAAGCUCCGGCUAACUACGUGCCAGCAGCCGCGGUAAUACGUAGGGAGCGAGCGUUAUCCGGAUUCAUUGGGCGUAAAGCGCGCGUAGGCGGCUGCCUAAGCGGAACCUCUAACCCCGGGGCUCAACCUCGGGCCGGGUUCCGAACUGGGCGGCUCGAGUGCGGUAGAGGAGAGCGGAAUUCCCGGUGUAGCGGUGGAAUGCGCAGAUAUCGGGAAGAACACCGAUGGCGAAGGCAGCUCUCUGGGCCGGCACUGACGCUGAGGCGCGAAAGCUGGGGGAGCGAACAGGA